rnacentral:lncRNA from 1 species
AAAAAAUGUAAUUACUGCAGUAAACAUAUUAAUAGGAAGAGCAUAUGUUGACAAACGACUGCAUGGAGAUUUAGACAUGCAUUUAUCAAUAGGACUUGGGUAGCCUAAUCCUCUUCUAUCCCACUGCUUCAAGAGAUUUCUUAUUAAUGCAACCUCGGAUGGAUUUGAUGUGCAUAUGGCUAGCCCAGGAACCCGGAGUAUCCAUUAGAAUUAAUUUUCCAAAGGCGGCACUCUAAGGCUGCUUCUGGAUUUAUUCUAGCUGCAAAGUGAUUAAGAAAGGUGAACUGCAAAGAAAUUAAUAGGUAGAGUAAAUCAGUGGGAGGUUUUUACACCAGCUGAGGUGAAAUUUGACCCUUUGGGAGAACUCAGGAGAGCCAGAGAGAUAUCUUCUCAUUCAGGCUGUUGGGGAGAAGCAGCAGUGAUCAGCUCCAGCUGUCUCUCUCACUAAAGCCAAUUACAGGUGUACUUCCCCACACUUGACAUCUCAUUUUCUAAGUCUGUAAAGUUAGGAUAACAUUUAGUUCAUUAUCUCCCAGUGGCAUUGUAUGUAUCAUUUUUUUAGGUUUUAAUGAAAGAUAAACCACAAAGCUGUAAAACAUGCAGAGCCUUGCUGGUGUAGGGAAACAGGAAUUGUUUUUGACAGUUCUUGUAGCUGCUAUAUUUUAGUAUACAGGGAUAAAUAGGGCUGUAGCUCAUGUGAGCAAGUGCUAAGGGGAAAAAUUUGGUUUCCAUGUGAGGAAGUAUAGGAAGACAUGGACUUACAAGUUUAUUACAGUCCUUCAUGAAGAAACCUGUCAGGAGUGGUGUCUUGUGCUAGACGCAGCGUACAAAGAACAUCAAGAAGGAGGGGCGUCUUGAUGAGAAGUGAUCCCCUGUCUGAGCGAUAUUGGCAAGAGAGAGGAGACAAAAGGAGAUUUCGCUUGGUUAGAACUUCUAGAUUCUUCUUUGGCAAGAAAGAUGGCAAUGAUGCACCACUUUUCUUCAGUGAUUCUUGUCUGGCUGGCAAUGUAACAGUCCUGUCUUGUCCAUCAUUUUCCACAGUUUUGGUGGAAUUUCCCCUGACUUCAUGAGCAGAAGUGGCUGUAAAUGUGGCUGAGGAAAGCAUGUCUUUGAUAAACUCAAAAAGGCAACUUUUAAAUAUUUUUUAACAUUAUUUAUUGAAAAAAAAAUAAAAACCCAACUAAAUAAAGC